UCUGUCUUCUAUCCUCCCGCUCAUGUAUCCCCACAAUAACUCCCAUAACCUCAGACAACCCGAGCCUGUCUGCUCCCUGGAAGCUGAAAGAACUUCAGUAACUCAGUUGGAGUGCAGGCAGCAGUGUUUGGGAAGGAGUAAAUGAAGCAGUUGGAAGCAAAGAAGCUGCUGCUUUGGGAUCCGCAAAUCAGAGGAUCAGGAAAUGUGAAACAACUUUCCUGACAGCUUCAGGGAGUGACAUCCAGGCAGGAACUCGGCGGCUUGGCAGAGCUGGAGGAGGAUAGCAGGUGAGCCUGGGAAACCUACAUCCUGGCAAGCUUCUUGCUGGGGGGAGGGAUCUGGUCUCCCAACCACUUGUUGUUCCCAUCCAAGCCACUCUCUCCAAUAGAACAGUUCCUGAAGGCACUAAUAGAGAUCAAUUUUCUCUAUUAUUCGGGGUCUGCAAUGCAGCAAAUAUUUCCGAAGCCAGCCUAAUCUCUUAGCAAAGCCCCUUGACUCCCCCACACAGCUGUUUUUAAUGGUGGACCAGGGACCACAUCAUGCAAGCACUUUCUGGGUUCUUUUACACUUCCUCCUUCCCCUAAAGCUCAUUUUCCCACAGCCUGCAUUCACUGGAUGCCUGGUGUGAGGAAAGAACUGGCACAUGUCCUGAUUCAGCCAUCUGUGCUUCCUCUCCCCACCAAAGUGAAAAUGCAUUCAAACUAAAUUAUUUUGAAAACACAUUCUCUCCAUUCAAGUUCUACUUCAAGACCUCACAAUAGAGGGCACCUCCACGAUCUCAUUCCUGGCAGCACUUGAAUGGGGGCUGCUGAACAAUACACUCUCAGUACUUGCUCAGAAAGAAAGACAAGACUUGGGACGAAAACAGGUGAAAGCUCUUCCGAGAUUUAGAGAGACAGGACCCGGUGCCGAAUUGCUUUCCAGGCGGUCAAGCCGCAUUGCUCAUUACGUGGAGUGAAUGGGAUGAUUCCAAACCAGCCCUGGACGAGGUGCGCUCUUUUUCCAACCUGGAAACAGCCCAUUCAGUCAAUAACUCACCUCCAGUGCCUUUUCCUAAAGCAUUUACAGUCAGGAGAACAAAUUCAGAUCUUUGAGCCAAAGUCUCUUUUAAGAUACCCCAGAAAAUCAAGAAGUCAUGACAAUUAAAGAGUCCUGUACCAGCACAUCCUGUCUUCACUGCCUGCAAAGCUCACCACUCUCUUCUCCAUCCACAAACUCCCAUACUCCUUUGAAGCAGCAGCUGAGCCGCCACAACCUCGAGCCUCUCUCCUGAUCACAGCAUCACAUAGACAAGGCUUCAGUGGAACCAUGACAAUUAGAAUAUUUAUUGAUUGCAGCACUUACAAAAUUUGAAAUAUUUGAAU
rnacentral:lncRNA from 10 species